GACGAACGCUGGCGGCGUGCUUAACACAUGCAAGUCGAACGGAAAGGCCCUGCUUUUGUGGGGUGCUCGAGUGGCGAACGGGUGAGUAACACGUGAGUAACCUGCCCUUGACUUUGGGAUAACUUCAGGAAACUGGGGCUCAUACCGGAUAGGAGCUCCUGCUGCAUGGUGGGGGUUGGAAAGUUUCGGCGGUUGGGGCUGGACUCGCGGCUUAUCAGCUUGUUGGUGGGGUAGUGGCUUACCAAGGCUUUGACGGGUAGCCGGCCUGAGAGGGUGACCGGCCACAUUGGGACUGAGAGACGGCCCAGACUCCUACGGGAGGCAGCAGUGGGGAAUAUUGCACAAUGGGCGGAAGCCUGAUGCAGCAACGCCGCGUGCGGGAUGACGGCCUUCGGGCUGUAAACCGCUUUCGCCUGUGACGAAGCGUGAGUGACGGUAAUGGGUAAAGAAGCACCGGCUAACUACGUG
rnacentral:rRNA from 1 species